rnacentral:rRNA from 1 species
GACGAACGCUGGCGGCGUGCUUAACACAUGCAAGUCGAACGGAAAGGCCCUGCUUUUGUGGGGUGCUCGAGUGGCGAACGGGUGAGUAACACGUGAGUAACCUGCCCUUGACUUUGGGAUAACUUCAGGAAACUGGGGCUAAUACCGGAUAGGAGCUCCUGCUGCAUGGUGGGGGUUGGAAAGUUUCGGCGGUUGGGGAUGGACUCGCGGCUUAUUAGCUUGUUGGUGGGGUAGUGGCUUACCAAGGCUUUGACGGGUAGCCGGCCUGAGAGGGUGACCGGCCACAUUGGGACUGAGAUACGGCCCAGACUCCUACGGGAGGCAGCAGUGGGGAAUAUUGCACAGUGGGCGGAAGCCUGAUGCAGCAACGCCGCGUGCGGGAUGACGGCCUUCGGGUUGUAAACCGCUUUCGCCUGUGACGAAGCGUGAGUGACGGUAAUGGGUAAAGAAGCACCGGCUAACUACGUG